rnacentral:rRNA from 1 species
GACAGAGGUGCCAAGCGUUAGGCGGAAUCACUGGGCUUAAAGCGCGUGUAGGCGGGCCGCCGCGUCGGGCGCUGAAAUCCCCCGGCUCACCCGGGGAACGGGCACCGAUACGGGCGGCCUGGAGGGGGGUAGGGGGGGCCGGAACUCACGGUGGAGCGGUGAAAUGCGUUGAGAUCGUGAGGAACGCCCGUGGCGAAAGCGGGCCCCUGGACCGUUGCUGACGCUGAGACGCGAAAGCCAGGGGAGCGAACGGG